UACGGGGGGUGCAAGCGUUGUUCGGAAUUACUGGGCGUAAAGGGCUCGUAGGUGGCCAACUAAGUCAUACGUGAAAUCCCUCAGCUUAACUGGGGAACUGCGUCUGAUACUGGAUGGCUUGAGUUUGGGAGAGGGAUGCGGAAUUCCAGGUGUAGCGGUGAAAUGCGUAGAUAUCUGGAGGAACACCGAUUGCGAAGGCAGCUCGCUGGGACGUUACUGACGCUGAGACGCGAAAGCGUGGGGAGCAAACAGG
rnacentral:rRNA from 1 species